CAGUAGCCGCGGUAAAACGUAGGGUGCAAGCGUUAAUCGGAAUUACUGGGCGUAAAGCGUGCGCAGGCGGUUAUAUAAGACAGUCGUGAAAUCCCCGGGCUCAACCUGGGAACUGCGAUUGUGACUGUAUGGCUAGAGUGUGUCAGAGGGGGGUAGAAUUCCACGUGUAGCAGUGAAAUGCGUAGAUAUGUGGAGGAAUACCGAUGGCGAAGGCAGCCCCCUGGGAUAACACUGACGCUCAUGCACGAAAGCGUGGGGAGCAAACAGGAUUAGAUACCCGCGUAGUCCCUGUCUCUUAUAC
rnacentral:rRNA from 1 species